UGGGGAAUAUUGGACAAUGGGCGCAAGCCUGAUCCAGCCAUGCCGCGUGAGUGAUGAAGGCCCUAGGGUUGUAAAGCUCUUUCAGCGAGGAGGAUAAUGACGUUACUCGCAGAAGAAGCCCCGGCUAACUUCGUGCCAGCAGCCGCGGUAAUACGAAGGGGGCUAGCGUUGUUCGGAAUCACUGGGCGUAAAGCGCACGUAGGCGGACUUUUAAGUCAGGGGUGAAAUCCCGGGGCUCAACCUCGGAACUGCCUUUGAUACUGGAAGUCUGGAGUCCGAGAGAGGUGAGUGGAACUCCGAGUGUAGAGGUGAAAUUCGCAGAUAUUCGGAAGAACACCAGUGGCGAAGGCGGCUCACUGGCUCGGUACUGACGCUGAGGUGCGAAAAGCGUGGGGAGCAAAACAGGAUUAGAUACCCUGGUAGUCCACGCCGUAAACGAUGGAAGCUAGCCGUCAGGGUGCAUGCAUCUUGGUGGCGCAGUUAACGCAUUAAGCUUCCGCCUGGGGAGUACGGUCGCAAGAUUAAAACUCAAAUGAAUUGACGGGGUCAUAGCUGUUUCCU
rnacentral:rRNA from 1 species